rnacentral:rRNA from 1 species
AGUGAACGCUGGCGGUAGGCCUAACACAUGCAAGUCGAACGGCAGCACAGUAAGAGUUUGCUCUUACGGGUGGCGAGUGGCGGAUGGGUGAGGAAUACAUCGCAAUCUACUUUUUCGUGGGGGAUAACGUAGGGAAACUUACGCUAAUACCGCAUACGAUCUACGGGUGAAAGCAGGGGAUCUUCGGACUUUGCGCGAUUGAAUGAGCCGAUGUCGGAUUAGCUAGUUGGCGGGGUAAAGGCCCACCAAGGCGACGAUCCGUAGCUGGUCUGAGAGGAUGAUCAGCCACACUGGAACUGAGACACGGUCCAGACUCCUACGGGAGGCAGCAGUGGGGAAUAUUGGACAAUGGGCGCAAGCCUGAUCCAGCCAUACCGCGUGGGUGAAGAAGGCCUUCGGGUUGUAAAGCCCUUUUGUUGGGAAAGAAAAGCAGCAGGUUAAUACCCCGCUGUUCUGACGGUACCCAAAGAAUAAGCACCGGCUAACUUCGUG